AGCACCGUAUGGUAUCUGCAGCCAGCUGCUCAAUCAGCAGGCCUGUUCAAAAGCCGGUGCGAGAGCAAAGUCGGCACGUGGCAUCGUUGGUCGCCGCGCUGUACGUGCGCGGAGUCCUGGUAUGACUGCCGAUACAUUA